GGCUCUUGGCGGUGGAUCACUCGGCUCGUGAGUCGAUGAAGGACGCAGCUAGCUGCGUGAUUUAGUGUGAAUUGCAGGACACAUUGAGCAUCGACGAUCUGAAAGCGAAUUGCGGCCUCGGG
rnacentral:rRNA from 1 species